UGUACACUGAAAAAAAUAAUUUUUAGCAAAGUACCAAUUUAGCUUGGUAAAAAAUUAUUCAGCUGCAUUCAAUCAAGACAUAUUUAAAUUAUGCAAUUAAGCUUAGCUAAUAUUGUACAAGCAAGUAUUGCUAAAUAUUCUUGGCUAUUAUUAACAAAGUACUCGUCUAUUUCUAAAUUACCAACUCGACUAAAAAUUACCAAAACCAUAUUCGGUUGAAACUAAACAAGUUACAUAUUUAUUACAUAGUAAGUAAGUUAUUUAAUUUUAGUCAUAAUCAUAGUUGGCUAUAGUUUACACCGAGCUUGGUUAAAAAUAGACAAGCUUACAUUAUUGUUUCAUAAUAAGUAAGUUAUUUAAUUUUGGAUAUAAUCAUAGUUGGCUAAAAUUUUCAGUUACGAGUUUGGUUAAAAAUAGACAAGCUUACAUUAUUAUUUAAUGAUAAGAAGUAAUUUAUUUAAUUUUAGACAUCAACGUAGUUAAAAUUAAAUAACUCACUAUGAUGCAUGUAACCGUGCCACCUAUAUAUUGGUAAAUAAGCACAGCUCAUUAAUUAACAAUUGAGUGGGCGAAUACUAUUUAUAUCCGAGUAACUUGAUAAAAAAUAAACAAGGAAUCGGCUACAUAGCCUGAGAUUUCGGCCAUUUCUCCCAAAUCAUAGUCGCGUGACGGACGUGUCUGUUGAAGCUCCUCCCGAGGCGGAGGUCUUCACCUCUAUCUCCAAGCUUUCGUUUACCAGACGGACUAAUAAGAAAGAUGAAGAAGACAAACUGUUAAGGCUUCACAAUUACGCUUAGGCCUUGGACAGCUGUAGAACAAAGGUGUGAAGAGACCACAGAGACAAGGAUAAUUGCUUCAAAAGAGUUAUCCACAGCUCAAUACUUCAAUGAAUAUGCUGCUCUUAAAAACCGAAAGGAUAUGUCCUGGUUCAGAGGAGACAUCAAACAUAGCAUGUUUGCUGUUCAUACCACCGUCCACCACCCUUAAGGCUGAAGAACGCAGCAAAAAAGAUUUGACGUCCUUCAAAAGCAGAGACCACGGCCAGUAUUAUUCUUCAUGUCAGAAGUUACUCCGAUAUCUGUACUAUGGUAACAAGUAAGCUAACAAAAUUUCUAUAAUAUGGGCUCACUGUCACCUUUUAUAAUUAUUGUCGGUGAAUCCAUUGAUGCAUGGAUGUUUAAAUUGUAUUCUUAAGUUACUUCUCAUCAAGCAAAAUAUUGUCUAAUAUUACUUUAAUGUGUAAAUUACAUUAGGUACGAUAUAUUCCUGAUAUGACCUACGCAUCAAAGAUAUCGAUGAUCAUAGAUAUUGACAAUUUUUUAACUAAAAAUCAUUUCCAAUUACUGAAAUACUUAAAAUGGCCUUGGGUUAAGACACAUUUUAUUUUGUCUAGUAAGUGUUUUGGGUGUGAUUUUUUGACGGUUUGUAAUGAAGCUCAACCAGAACAUUUUAUAAUAGAAAACGAACAAUAUGUAAAGAAUUUAUUGCACUUUAAUUUUUUUUGGUGUAAAAACUGUUUAGAGUGUAGCAUUUAUGAUCAUUUUCCCGAUGAUGAAUGUGAAUUAUGUUUGAUUUAGAUCUAUUUAAAAGUUUAUAUGACGGUAUUAUUGGGUUGUAUAAAAGUUAGGUCAUUACAUACCUAUUAUCUUAGCUUAUUCUAUAUUUAUUAUCUUAUGUUCUGGCUAAUCAACUAAAAGUAUAAAUUUAUGUAAAGUAACUUGCUAACAUUACAAUAACUGUCAUUUGUUUUUUUAUGUAAACAAUGUAUUAACAAACACAGUUUCUUGAUAUUGUGUACUAGUUUUAAGAUUAAUUCUUAUAACAGAGUAGUUUGUUACCUGAAAUGACUGUAUGGUGUACUGAAUAAAGCUAAUUUCGUAUGUACA